rnacentral:rRNA from 1 species
UAGGGAAUCUUCCGCAAUGGACGAAAGUCUGACGGAGCAACGCCGCGUGAGUGAUGAAGGUUUUCGGAUCGUAAAGCUCUGUUGUUAGGGAAGAACAAGUGCCGUUCAAAUAGGGCGGCACCUUGACGGUACCUAACCAGAAAGCCACGGCUAACUACGUGCCAGCAGCCGCGGUAAUACGUAGGUGGCAAGCGUUGUCCGGAAUUAUUGGGCGUAAAGGGCUCGCAGGCGGUGUCUUAAGUCUGAUGUGAAAGCCCCCGGCUCAACCGGGGAGGGUCAUUGGAAACUGGGGAACUUGAGUGCAGAAGAGGAGAGUGGAAUUCCACGUGUAGCGGUGAAAUGCGUAGAGAUGUGGAGGAACACCAGUGGCGAAGGCGACUCUCUGGUCUGUAACUGACGCUGAGGAGCGAAAGCGUGGGGAGCGAACA